rnacentral:rRNA from 1 species
UGCCUACGGGGGGCAGCAGUAGGGAAUCUUCCACAAUGGGCGAAAGCCUGAUGGAGCAACGCCGCGUGGGUGAAGAAGGUCUUCGGAUCGUAAAACCCUGUUGUUAGAGAAGAAAGUGCGUGAGAGUAACUGUUCACGUUUCGACGGUAUCUAACCAGAAAGCCACGGCUAACUACGUGCCAGCAGCCGCGGUAAUACGUAGGGGGCGAGCGUUAUCCGGAUUCAUUGGGCGUAAAGCGCGCGUAGGCGGCGCGUCAAGC